rnacentral:rRNA from 1 species
AGCUCCAAUAGCGUAUAUUAAAGUUGUUGCUGUUAAAAAGCUCGUAGUUGGAUUUCUGGUGGGGACGUUUGGCCGGCCGUAACGGUUUGCGCUGAAAUGUUCUUCGCCAUCCUUGACGAAUACUGGUUCGCCAUCAAGUUGUGUGGGCUUGGAGUCGUCAUCGUUUACUGUGAAAAAAUUAGAGUGUUCAAAGCAGGCUUAUGCCGUUGAAUACAUUAGCAUGGAAUAAUAAGAUAGGACCCUGGUACUAUUUUGUUGGUUUGCGUACCUAGGUAAUGAUUAAUAGGGACAGUUGGGGGUAUUUGUAUUCCGUUGUCAGAGGUGAAAUUCUUGGAUUUACGGAAGACAAACUACUGCGAAAGCAUUUACCAAGGAUGUUUUCAUUA